rnacentral:rRNA from 1 species
CAGUCGCCGCGGUAAUACGUAGGGUGCAAGCGUUAAUCGGAGUUACUGGGCGUAAAGCGUGCGCAGGCGGUUCGUUAAGACAGAUGUGAAAUCCCCGGGCUUAACCUGGGAACUGCAUUUGUGACUGGCGGGCUAGAGUAUGGCAGAGGGGGGUAGAAUUCCACGUGUAGCAGUGAAAUGCGUAGAGAUGUGGAGGAAUACCGAUGGCGAAGGCAGCCCCCUGGGCCAAUACUGACGCCCAUGCACGAAAGCGUGGGGAGCAAACAGGAUUAGAUACCCCCGUAGUCCCUGUCUCUUAUAC